CCAGAUUAAAUUGAAUUGAAUGGGGCCAGCCAGUAUUGUAAUGGGUGCUCCAAUAUGAACUUGACCCAUGGCAGAUCAAAGUGGUAGUACAACUUGUGAAGGUUUUUGAGUGGCAGAGCUUUGUUGUGUGAUGCAAUAUUUCACAGGGCAAGAAUUUAUAUGCGAGACAGUUUCAUUUUGUGAGGGUCCCAGACUCCCAGUUACCAUGUAUACUGCAUUCACAGUCACAGGAAUUUAUACGAGAGGAAGUUGUAUUUUUAUGCGAGAAAGUGAUCAAACAUAUACUGCAUUACACAUUUCAAAUCCCAAAACAGGAUAGUAAUACGACAGACAUCGUCAAAACCACUACCAAGUCCAAAUCUCUCGUUAACACAACCGGUGACAGUCCAUGGUGGUUACAGGUAGUGAUCUAAACGCUCUUAUACUUCUUUACAGAGGGGAUACGUUUCGUCUAAAAAGAAAGAAAUCACACAACUGCACUACAGUACUGAAAAGCACGGCCAGAAGGAUUAAACCGAGCAGAGUGUAGCUUCCAGAUCAGGAAAACAUGACAAGACUUCAAAUCACGACGUAGCUCACCUUAUCUGCAACUGCAAACUUUAUACUACCAAAGAAAAUUAAGAAAAGGGUCGAUCUUUGACGAUGGGAGUCAGCCGUAGAAGCAGGCGACGGCGCGGCGGCGGGGCGGUGGCUGCAGGGCGGCGAGUAUUAGCCCCACCACGACGACGGCGACGACGAUGAGCACCAUGACGAUGUCCUCGUCCAGCGAGAGCAGGCAUACCUUCUUCCCCAUGGCCGCGCGUGUCUGGUGCAACUGGGCGGUGGCUUCUUUUCUCCACUGAGAGGAACUAAUCCAAGAGGAGGGGUAUAAAAGGAGGCAUGCAUGUCGUAACAAAAAUAUGUGACGUGUGUACAGUAG
rnacentral:rRNA from 1 species